GAUGAACGCUGGCGGCGUGCCUAAUACAUGCAAGUCGAGCGAACGGACGAGAAGCUUGCUUCUCUGAUGUUAGCGGCGGACGGGUGAGUAACACGUGGAUAACCUACCUAUAAGACUGGGAUAACUUCGGGAAACCGUAGCUAAUACCGGAUAAUAUUUUGAACCGCAUGGUUCAAAAGUGAAAGACGGUCUUGCUGUCACUUAUAGAUGGAUCCGCGCUGCAUUAGCUAGUUGGUAAGGUAACGGCUUACCAAGGCAACGAUGCAUAGCCGACCUGAGAGGAUGAUCGGCCACACUGGAACUGAGACACGGUCCAGACUCCUACGGGAGGCAGCAUUAGGUAAUCUUCCGCAAGGGGCGAAAGCCUGACGGAGCAACGCCGCGUGAGUGAUGAAGGUCUGCGGAUCGUAAAACUCUGUUAUUAGGGAAGAACAUAUGUGUAAGUAACUGUGCACAUCUGGACGUGACCUAAUCAGAAAGCCACGGCUAACUACGU
rnacentral:rRNA from 1 species